GAGAGUCACUUUGCAUCGUCAGCACAUGCUUCAGUGCUCUGAGAGUGUUUAUAGUGCUGCGAGUUUAACACUUCAUGACUGACACUGUUUAUCAUUAUAACAGACACAGUGACUACAAUGACAUUCUUCAUCUUGAUUUUGAUUUUAGGGAUGUAUUUUCAAGAUUCUGCAGGACAGGUGACUGUAAUUCAGACUCCAACAGAGAAACAUGUUCAGAACGGACAAACAGUCGCUCUGACCUGUAAAACCAGCAGCGCCAUUGGAGACCUGUCAAAUGGUUGGUGUAAGAACUGUUUCUCUUGGUACUUACAGAAACCUGGAGAAGCUCCUAAACUUGUAGUGUACUACAUUAAUACCCUUCAUACUGGAACUCCAUCAAGAUUCAGAGGAAAUGGAGCCGAUCAUGGAACUGAUUUCAGUCUGACCAUCAGCGGAGUCCAGACUGAAGAUACAGGAGAUUAUUACUGUAUGGCUAUAAACUGGAUCAGUAAUAGCUGGGUGUUCACACAGUGAUAAAGAGUCAUACAAAAACCUCCGUCAGUCAGAGUCACAGUGACUGCACUGAUACAGCUGAGAGAUACUGCAGCUGCUCUACAACACAAUCACACACAACACUGAUCAACACAAACACUAAUAACA